rnacentral:tRNA from 1 species
GCAGUGGUUCAAUGGUAGAACUCUCGCCUUCUAUGCAGGAGACCGGGGUUCAAUUCCCAGCCAGUGCA